rnacentral:miRNA from 1 species
CAGCUGUUACCUCACUACCU